GAUGAAGAACGCAGCGAAAUGCGAUAAGUAAUGCGAAUUGCAGAAUUCAGUGAUUCAUCGAAUCUUUGAACGCACAUUGCGCCCUGUGGUAUUCCGCAGGGCAUGCCUGUUCGAGCGUCAUUUCAACCCUCAAGCUCUGCUUGGUGUUGGGCCCUGCCCGCUGCGGCCGGCCCUAAAGACAGUGGCGGUGCCGCCUGGCCCUGAGCGUAGUACAUCUCUCGCUCCAGUGCCCGGUGGUAGCCUGCCAGAACCCCAACUCUCGUGGUUGACCUCGGAUCAGGUAGGGAUACCCGCUGAACUUAAGCAUAUCAAUAAGCGGAGGA
rnacentral:misc_RNA from 1 species